rnacentral:tRNA from 1 species
GAGGAUAUGGCGGAAUUGGUAGACGCGAUGGACUUAAAAUCCAUUGGUCUUUUGAUCUUGAGGGUUCAAGUCCCUCUAUCCUCA